GAUGAACGCUAGCUACAGGCUUAACACAUGCAAGUCGAGGGGUAACGAGAGGAAAGCUUGCUUUCCUUGUCGACGACCGGCGCACGGGUGAGUAACGCGUAUCCAACCUGCCCCCAACUAGGGAAUAACCUUGCGAAAGUAAGACUAAUACCCUAUAAUUUCCUCAGAUGCCAUCUGACGAGGAAUAAAGAUUUAUCGGUUGUGGAUGGGGAUGCGUCUGAUUAGCUUGUUGGCGGGGUAACGGCCCACCAAGGCAACGGUCAGUAGGGGUUCUGAGAGGAAGGGCCCCCACAUUGGAACUGGGACACGGUCCAAACUCCUACGGGAGGCAGCAGUGAGGAAUAUUGGUCAAUGGGCGGAAGCCUGAACCAGCCAAGUAGCGUGCAGGAUGACGGCCCUAUGGGUUGUAAACUGCUUUUAUACAGGAAUAAAGUUAGCCACGUGUGGUUAUUUGUAGGUACUGUAUGAAUAAGGACCGGCUAAUUCCGUGCCAGCCGCCGCAGUAA
rnacentral:rRNA from 1 species